AGUUUGCUCCCCUGUAGGCAGAAGGUGGAUCAACCUUAUUCAGCUCUUGCAAGGAAAGAGAAGGAAGAUGCUGGUGAGCUGGGCCCAUCUAGGUGAGUAUAAUACUGGGACAGAAACUGAUGGUCCUUGUGUUCCACAAGUAACUGGGAUAAAACAGUUGUGCUUCUUAUGUAAGUUGGUUAUAUUUUGAGCCUCACAUGGUUCAUUCAUUCAUUCAGCAAGUAUUUUCUGAGUGCUUGCUCUAGGGCCAGACACUGUUAGGUACAAUAAAACAAUUAUGAUGAGAAGUAGAUAUGUUUCUACCUGCAGUUCAGUUUGGUUGAGGAGUUUGGGAACAGAAAUCAAAUAACCAUACUGAUAGACCAAUUUUUCAAAAAUAAACAGAUAGGGAUAGAUACAUAGUUAAGUUUUGUCCAGUAAAGGAAUUAAUGAAUAAAUGGAUAAAUAUAAUACACUCGAUUUUUCCUUUUAAGCAUUUCAAUGGUUUAAUAAACCAAACCUUCCUAAAUAUUUAAAUAAAACUCAUAACUCUAUUAAACAUACACAUAUGGCAAAUGACGACUUCUCAAACAGCCAAUAAUCUUUAGUCUUAAUAAAAUUCUCAUCUCUUCAACUUAAUAUUCUAAGUUUAAGCCAAUACUUGAUUAAAAGUUUAAAAUUUCAAUGAUAAGGCUCAUCUAUCUAAUUCCUUAACAUGCUAUAGUUUUUGAAAAUAGGACAUUUUAUGUAUUAAUUAUUCAUUUACUGUUUCUUAGUGCCAGAUAAUAAUAAUAGAUAUGAUUUAAUCCUCAUUUCUUUGCUUAAAUUUGACCUUUUGGCAUAGACAUUGUAAGAAAACCUUCUAUUUCUCUUAUCUGGGGACCGCAGUUGCAUACUGAUUGCGGGGAAUGUUUGACUGGGCUCCAGGAUUCUCUUCUUCCCAUUCCCAACCCCACCCCCGCCUUUUUUUUUCUAAUCAUGAGCUGUAAGGACAUGAGACUGGAGUGGCUGCAGCCAUUUUUCUUAUCUGGUAGAUAGAGUUUGUAUGGGAGAUGAUGAAACCAGCAUUUAAUAAAAUCCAGAGACAAGCAGAGGGCAGAGAUGGAGACUGAGACUUCUGACAAUACCUGAGUCCAUGGAUAAAGCUGUGCCUGAAUUACGACCCACCCUGAAUCCUCCUAAUUGCAUGAGCCUACACAUUUCUUGCUUGACCUAAGCUGUUUCAUUUAGAUUUUCAUCUCUCUUAACUGAAAGUAUCCUGACAUAUUUCAUAGGCCGUGUUAGCCAUUGUCCUCCUCCAGUACUCCAAACCUUCAGAAAACAUUUGUUACCCUAAAUAGCCUUUAAAGUGCUUGAGGAAUGAAGGAAGAUAGCGGGUGUGCAGUGGCUGUGGAGUCAUCUGCACCAAAGUGGUGGGGAGUGAGGCAGCAGCAUCCAAAGAUGAAAUGAGGUGCCGAUGGAGAACUUUGCAAAAUUAGAGAUACAGAGCAAGUAGUUACCAUAAGGACAUAGAGGUCCUGGGAUCCUCUGCAAUCGGGAGGACACCAGACUUCCUGUGAUUUGUGGAAUGGAAGGUCAAGUCAUGUCAUUUGGAUAUGAAAGUGUGGGCAUCAGAAGGCUAAGAUCUCUAGGUGACAUUUUCAUGCUUUCUACCAAGAUAAAAAGUUUCUGAUCCUGGCAGUAUCAAGUCUUAUUAUAGCAAAAACAGGCAAAACAGUUUACUGCAAUAAGGACAGCAGUAUAGCAAGGGAUUGAGCUUGGGCCAGGCCUGAGAACAAUCUUAGACUCAAAGAUAGCAUAUAGAAAGUAUAGUGUUGAAGCAUCUGUUGUUUGCUUGACCUGCGUUUAUUUCUCCUCUGGCAGUAGUUCUUCAAUAUUCCUUUGGGGAACAAUUCUUUAUCAUCUUCUAGUUCAUACACCAAAGACUACUAGGAACACACCUAUAGUUGUACAAACAGGGCUUAUGAUUAACUGCAGCCUGUGAGAACACACACCCCUGGGAGCCAUAAGGCAUGUCAAUAGAAGGGUAUUAGAAAGGUCUUAUUGUAGGAUUUGAGAUUGUUAGGUUAAUUUGGUGGAAGGCUUAAGGAAAAGAGGCUUUGCUUUGGUUUGAAUGCCCUCAGAAAGUGGGAGUAAUUAUUUAGGAGGAGGGAAGAGUAGCUUAAGGCUAAAGUUGUAAUUGGUGAAGAAGCAGCAGUCACAUUAGUCUAGAUAAGUCGAUAUUUGGUAUUUUGUGACUUUGAUAAUGUUCAUGUUUUGCCUGUGUUUAGUCAUGAUUAUUAAGUGGUAUUAUCUUAGUCUUGAUUUCUUCAUAGUCACAGAGUAGUUUGUCAGAUGUAAACAUUCUAUGAAAUUGUUUAUCUCAAAUGGAGAACAUGAAGGCCCAGAUGUAAGUAGAAG
rnacentral:lncRNA from 1 species